GAGACAAGAGAGGAAAGAAUUCGCCAAUACCAUGAAGAACCAAACACCCUUCCAGUUCUGGGCUUGCGGGAAGGUGCAAUGCUGCUAGUGGAAGGAGACAAAGCCACCUUGCAAGGAGUGACAGGAGCACGUCUGUUUCUGAGGGGUAAGAAACCAACUGAACAUGAGCCUGGAACAGAUUUCAGUUUCCUCCUGAUUGACAGUAAUCUCCAGAAUCUGUAGCCUUGCACAUUCUGCAGCAAAAGUCACUAUAUGGGAAGACAAUGAGGAGGAAGGAAAGAGAUGCUUCUAGUCCCAGGGUGGCUGGAGAACUUUAUCUUUAUAAAUAAAGAUAAAUAUUCAUUA